rnacentral:misc_RNA from 1 species
AAUCGUUAGCCACACUAACGUAAAUAUUAUUACCCUCUACCUAGGCCUCCCGCCUUCAACACUGAGAACCCUUCCUUGUCAUCUCCGAGCACUAAACUGACUUUCUGGACUCUCCGAAAAUGCUGAAACCUCCUCUUAUCCCUCUUCGGAUACUUUGGACUAUGAAUUUCUUCCAAGUCACGUUCCUACGGACCCUGCUUUAGAACGAGAUUUUCGGAACCUCGAAGAGAAUUUCAAGACAUAUGAUAUGGUAGUAAGAGAAGCUGGAAAAUGAAACUACUCACGAUGAGUAAAGUCAAACCAAUGCUGCCAUAAAACCUAGUACUCAGAGCCAACUCGAUGCAGCUAUACAGACCAAAUAACCCUCG